rnacentral:lncRNA from 1 species
UAUCAUUGCCAACAGAAUGCUAUCCACAUUGCGUUGAAGGUCUAAAAGGAGCAUGUUUCAUAAAUGCCAGCAACCAAUGCCAGUGCCACUGUGUGCCCCAUAAUUGCAACGCCUGCGCCAUUGUGCGAGAGAAAUAUCGCUGUUCCGGAAAUGAGAUUCACCUGUGCAAUAUUAGGAAUCAGUUGUGCGAGUGCGGUUGUGUUCCGCCGGGAUUAUGGUGAGAAUAGCAGCUGCUGAGUAUGAAAUUGGAAUCCAGGUUGUAACUAAGCUGCAUAUUUUUCGCACGCUUGAGGACUUCUCUCUCUUAGAUAUGCACGUAAUAAACAUUCAAUAAAGAUGCAAUCCUUUUUUGAUAAAGGAGCAAAGGUGUUUUAGCUAAAUAAAAGAA